rnacentral:misc_RNA from 1 species
CUGAGUUACCGCUCUAUAACCCUUUGUGAACAUACCUAACUGUUGCUUCGGCGGGUUAGGGGGUCCCCCCGGGGACGCCCUCCCGGCCGCGCCCUCCUCCUCCGGGAGGGGUCGCGGCGCCCGCCGGAGGAUAACCAAACUCUGAUUUAACGACGUUUCUUCUGAGUGGCACAAGCAAAUAAUUA